UACAGAGGGGGCAAGCGUUGUUCGGAAUUACUGGGCGUAAAGGGCUCGUAGGCGGCCAACUAAGUCACACGUGAAAUCCCUCAGCUUAACUGGGGAACUGCGUCCGAUACUGGAUGGCUUGGAUUUGGGAGAGGGAUGUAGAAUUCCAGGUGUAGCGGUGAAAUGCGUAGAUAUCUGGAGGAACACCGGUGGCGAAGGCGGCAUCCUGGACCAACACUGACGCUGAGGAGCGAAAGCCAGGGGAGCAAACGGGG
rnacentral:rRNA from 1 species